CUACGGGCCGCUGCAGUGGGGAAUAUUGCACAAUGGAGGAAACUCUGAUGCAGCAACGCCGCGUGGAGGAUGACACUUUUCGGAGCGUAAACUCCUUUUAUAUAGGAAGAAGAUGACGGUACUAUAUGAAUAAGCGCUGGCUAACUCCGUGCCAGCAGCCGCGGUAAUACGGAGGGCGCAAGCGUUACUCGGAAUCACUGGGCGUAAAGAGCGUGUAGGCGGAUUAAAAAGUCAGAAGUGAAAACCUAUAGCUUAACUAUAGAACUGCUUCUGAAACUCUUAAUCUAGAAUAUGGGAGAGGGAGAUGGAAUUUCUGGUGUAGGGGUAAAAUCCGUAGAGAUCAGAAGGAAUACCGAUUGCGAAGGCGAUCUACUAGAACAUUAUUGACGCUGAGACGCGAAAGCGUGGGGAGCAAACAGGAUUAGAUACCCUAGUAGUC
rnacentral:rRNA from 1 species